ensembl:lncRNA
CGUUUCCACAGCGACGGGCCCAGCGGUUUAAGCCGCGCCGAGGGUCCGGUGGCUGUCGCGCCGGCUUCAGCCGGGGGCUCCGCUGCCCGCCUUGGGCAUGAGGCGGGUACGGGGCCGCUCUCAACCGCCUCCGCGGGGAGAAGGUGAGGAAAGGGGGGGUGGCGGAGCAGCGGGGGGUUUACCGGGACCUUCCCGGAGCGGCUGCCCGGGGCACGGCCUGGCCCGGCCCUCGGUCGGUCCCGGUUUCCAUGCUCCCUCCUGCUGCCGGCGGCUGAACAUCGGAUGGCGUGGAGCCGGUAACUCCCGGGUGAUUUAUAGCGAACUAGUUAACCUGUACAGUUACCAACUGUGUUAGCUCUCCUGAGGGUGACUCUGUACGCUGUUCCUGUGUUUAGUCUGUUCCAUAGCUGGGUAGAACAGAGUGUCACUGCAUGGGGCAGCCCACCGGGAGCGGGAGAUGCUGCAUCCCCAGGUCUCCUCACACGUAGCUUUGUUUUCCAUCAGUUUUGGUGGAUAAUCAAUGCACCAGCUACAAGAGAAGUCACUGACUUGGAAAGGCAAGAGGAACUUUGCUUCUGAAAGGGGACAGAAGUGUUAUACACAGCUUGUUUCCUUCUGGAGAGUCUGUUGGCAGAGACAUGGCUGUGGGAUGGCUGCAGCCUCAGGGAUGGUUCAAGCAGGAGGUGCCUUGUGCUCGCUUUAGUGUAAACAAAAUCCUGUCAAAUUGUACCUAAGUUAUUGGCAUUAAAUGUUAAAACCACCUGGUGUUAUAAACCAGCAAAAUCUCACAGCAAAACAGGGAUUCCAGGCUCAGCAUGGGGUUGGAAUGGAGAAAUCUUCUUUCUGGGAAAGGAGAAUUUCUUCAAAUAACCUGAGUGGGUUUUGUAACGGGUAGCUCAAAGUGAUGUGCAAGCAAGUUUUGAUCAACCUGGUGAGAAAAAAUCACCUGAUUAGUAACUAUUUCUCAUCAUCGAUGAGCCAGUUGCUGUGUAACAAUUUAAACUAUAAAUGCAGGCAGAUAUUGCUGAUUUCUUCAAUAGCUGAAGUUAGGAAUUACUUUGUUUUCCAGCCUGCUUGUUGAUAGGACUGUGCUAAUGUGCAUAAAUUACAUUCUUUUUGUUCUGGUUUCAGCUGUAACAGUUAUCUUUCUCCUUCCCAAUAGCUGGUGCAGCACUGUGUUUGGGCUUUAGUCUGAGAACAAUGCUGGUAACACAUCGAUGGUUUAGUUGUUGCUCAGCAGCACUUACCCUGACCAAGGACUUUUCAGUCUCAUGCUCUGCCAGUGAGGAGGGACACGGGAGGCCAAGAGGAAGCAGAGGCAGGACACCUGACCCAAACUGGCCAAAGGGGUAUUCCAUACCACAGCACGUCAUGCCCAGUAUAGAAACUGGGGGGAGUUGGCCAGAAGGGACCAAUCGCUGCUCUGGGACAGACUGGGCAUCAGUCAGCGGGUGGUGAGCAAUUGUAUUGGGCAUCACUUGGGUUUAUUGGUUUGGGUUUUUUUUCCUUUUCACUUUUAUAUUCUCUUCCAUUGUUAUUUCCCUCAUCAUUAUCGUUAUUAGUAGUAGUAGUUUUGUAUUAUACUUUAGUUAUUGGCCUGUUCUUAUCUCAACCCAUGGAGUUUACAUUCUUUCAAUUCUCCUCCCCAUCCCACCCGGGGAGUGAGCGAGCGGCUGCUGGUUCUGAGUUACUGGCAGGGUUUAAACCACGAUACUUUUGUAUUCUUGCCCCCUACUUCUCUACCAGUUGACCCCCAAAGACAUUUCCAGCCCUUUGGUUGGCACUGAUGCAGGACCAUUUGUGUACUAGGAUCAGAGUAAUUCUGCUCUUUCAGCACAUUGGCAUGCUUGCUGUCUUCCAGCCCUUCGGAAAGAAAAGGAGCUUCCUUUUCUUUCAGCAAGCUUGUGCGCAAAUUAAUCGGACUAACUGAAGUUGCUUAUCCCUGUUAGAUGUUAAUUUAGCAUCCUCUGUAGCUACUGAGGAACAGUGAGCGUGGAGCAGAGGUACUUCAUGUCAGCUCAGGCCCAGCAGAGCUUCUUGGUGCUGGUUUUGCAAUGCUACCCCUGACCUGCUGCCAGUAUUGUACUCCAUAGCAUGUGCUGCACCCGUGAAGCCGAGCAGCCUAACUCUCUGUUGAUAAAAGCUCAUCCCAGCUCUGUGGCAAGCAAAAAGCAACAACUAAUAAUCCAACACAAACUGGAAAGAAAAAAAAAA